CAGCCCCUACAGCACAACAGUUCUCCUAUCAACUCCUAAAGAAAGCAAGCUGAGUGUCAAGGCUGAUCUUAUUUUUGAAGAAUACAUUGGUCUUGAUUUCCACGAAAAACUCAUACUGUUGAAGGACAACAAUUCAGGAAUGAAUUACAAAUGUGGGCAGAAGCAGCCUUCCCUUUUUCCUCCACCUGUGGAAAUUUGCUUGAUAGAAGAUGACAAUGAAACCAUAUCUUAUGCUUCAGCUGAAAGGCUUUGCAAUUUGAAAAAAUCAAAAACAGAAGACAGCUCAAUGCCCACUUUCAAACUCAUAGAUGAAGAAUUGGAAGAAGGUAAGCAUCCCGUUGAAAUAAAAAAGGACAAUCAGAAAGUCAUAACUAAACAAGCAAUAUUCGACCACAUACGUGAAAAGGCCAAGAACUUCCCCAUCUUGACUCCUGCAAAAUCUUCCUCUUCUCCAUUGUCAGAGGCGUUGCUUUUCACAAGAAAGCAUCCCUAUAAGAAGGACAUUGAUCUUGAUACCGAACUGAUUGUUAUAGAAGAGAUAGAGGGAAGCAAAAUUCCACAACAGAUUGUCACAAAUCCGAGUUCUGAAAUCAGAGAAAUGGAACAGAAUGGGUAUAAUAUCAACAACCAUCUCGCUCCAAAGCAGGGCACUCCGUCUAGAAGUUCGGGUACUAUGAACUUCUUGGAUUACAAAGGUGGUCGUCCUUCUGAAUCUGAGAAAAGCAUUCUGAAGAGUCUAACUGAAGAAACAAUAUUUGGUCACAUACGGGAAAGAGCCAAUAAUUUUCCAGUGUUAUCAAGGACUAUGCAAUCUGAGUCUCCAAUGUGGACCAAGGAACAGUCUACUGAGAAUCAGCCUGAGUUUUGCAUUGCUGCGUCUGAUGCAUUAAGUGAAAUGUUUUAUGAUGAUAAGAUCAUGAGGGAAACUGUAAUCAUUUCAGAUUUGGAACCUGGAGGGACAGUGAUGAAUGAUUGUGAUUCCAGUGCAGGGGCAAAGGUGAAAGAAAACAAAUUUCCUCGAAGUCCAUGCCUAACAUAUGAGAGUUUGAGUAUCUCUCCCAGAAUUUCAAGAAUCAACAAUGAUCCAUCUUGUAUGGAAAUUUUACCUUUCGACAUUUCCAUGAUAAAGGAUAACACUAGAUCACUAGACUCAGCAAGCUCCAUGGAGUAUAAAAGGAAGCAGCUGAAGCAUUGUUCUCCUAAUGGAUCAAAAAGGCAGUGCUGGUCAAUGGCAAUGGCAGGCAAAACAAAGGAAGUAGAUUCAUUUCAUGGAUUUGAAAGUGUUUUUUCAUUUCUCUGAUUUCUCUCUCUCGGCAAUGAGUAGUUGGAGAACAGUGUCAUGGUCUAAAAUUUGAUUCUUCUGUUUUAGUUUCGUACUCCAGGUUAUUGUAGUUUGUGCUUAUACGCGGUAAAUAUCCUGUAAAUGAUACGGCGAAGUGGAAUCUUGGCAUGAUGCGAGUCUUAUAUACGCUAAGAAUAUCAGGAAACUCUAAAAA
rnacentral:misc_RNA from 1 species